rnacentral:rRNA from 1 species
ACGAUGAUCCCAGCUUGCUGGGGGAUUAGUGGCGAACGGGUGAGUAACACGUGAGUAACCUGCCCUUGACUCUGGGAUAAGCCUGGGAAACUGGGUCUAAUACCGGAUACGACCAUCUGGCGCAUGUCAUGGUGGUGGAAAGCUUUUGUGGUUUUGGAUGGACUCGCGGCCUAUCAGCUUGUUGGUGGGGUAAUGGCCUACCAAGGCGACGACGGGUAGCCGGCCUGAGAGGGUGACCGGCCACACUGGGACUGAGACACGGCCCAGACUCCUACGGGAGGCAGCAGUGGGGAAUAUUGCACAAUGGGCGCAAGCCUGAUGCAGCGACGCCGCGUGAGGGAUGACGGCCUUCGGGUUGUAAACCUCUUUCAGUAGGGAAGAAGCCGUAAGGUGACGGUACCUGCAGAAGAAGCGCCGGCUAACUACGUGCCA